GUAGGGAAUCUUGCGCAAUGGGCGAAAGCCUGACGCAGCCAUGCCGCGUGAAUGAUGAAGGUCUUAGGAUUGUAAAAUUCUUUCACCGGGGACGAUAAUGACGGUACCCGGAGAAGAAGCCCCGGCUAACUUCGUGCCAGCAGCCGCGGUAAUACGAAGGGGGCUAGCGUUGCUCGGAAUUACUGGGCGUAAAGGGAGCGUAGGCGGAUAGUUUAGUCAGAGGUGAAAGCCCAGGGCUCAACCUUGGAAUUGCCUUUGAUACUGGCUAUCUUGAGUAUGGAAGAGGUAUGUGGAACUCCGAGUGUAGAGGUGAAAUUCGUAGAUAUUCGGAAGAACACCAGUGGCGAAGGCGACUCACUGGCCCAAUACUGACGCUGAGGCGCGAAAGCGUGGGGAGCAAACAGGAUUAGAUACCCUGGUAGUCC
rnacentral:rRNA from 1 species